UACAGAGGGUGCAAGCGUUAAUCGGAAUUACUGGGCGUAAAGCGUGCGCAGGCGGUUUUGUAAGCCAGGUGUGAAAUCCCCGGGCUCAACCUGGGAAUGGCAUUUGGGACUGCAAGGCUGGAGUGCGGCAGAGGAGACUGGAAUUCCGCGUGUAGCAGUGAAAUGCGUAGAUAUGCGGAGGAACACCGAUGGCGAAGGCAAUCCCCUGGGCCUGUACUGACGCUCCAUGCACGAAAGCGUGGGGAGCAAACAGG
rnacentral:rRNA from 1 species